GACGAACGCUGGCGGCGUGCUUAACACAUGCAAGUCGAACGGAAAGGCCCUGCUUUUGUGGGGUGCUCGAGUGGCGAACGGGUGAGUAACACGUGAGUAACCUGCCCUUGACUUUGGGAUAACUUCAGGAAACUGGGGCUAAUACCGGAUAGGAGCUCCUGCUGCAUGGUGGGGGUUGGAAAGUUUCGGCGGUUGGGGAUGGACUCGCGGCUUAUCAGCUUGUUGGUGGGGUAGUGGCUUACCAAGGCUUUGACGGGUAGCCGGCCUGAGAGGGUGACCGGCCACCUUGGGACUGAGAUACGGCCCAGACUCCUACGGUAGGCAGCAGUGGGGAAUAUUGCACAAUGGGCGGAAGCCUGAUGCAGCAACGCCGCGUGCGGGAUGACGGCCUUCGGGUUGUAAACCGCUUUCGCCUGUGACGAAGCGUGAGUGACGGUAAUGGGUAAAGAAGCACCGGCUAACUACGUG
rnacentral:rRNA from 1 species